AACGAACGCUGGCGGCAGGCCUAACACAUGCAAGUCGAACGCUCCAGCAAUGGAGAGUGGCAGACGGGUGAGUAACGCGUGGGAACCUUCCCUAUGGUUCGGAGUAGCUCAGGGAAACUUGAGGUAAUACCGGAUAAGCCCUUCGGGGAAGGAUUAUCGCCAUUGGAUGGGCCCGCGUAGGAUUAGCUAGUUGGUGAGGUAACGGCUCACCAAGGCGACGAUCCUUAGCUGGUCUGAGAGGAUGAUCAGCCACACUGGGACUGAGACACGGCCCAGACUCCUACGGGAGGCAGCAGUGGGGAAUAUUGGUACAAUAGGGCGCAAGCCUGAUCCAGCCAUGCCGCGUGAGUGACGAAGGACCUUAGGGUUGUAAAGCUCUUUUGGCGGGGAAGAUAAUGACGGUACCCGCAGAAUAAGCUCCGCUAACUUCGUGCCAGCCGCCGCUGUAAC
rnacentral:rRNA from 1 species